GUCAAAAUGUUAACAGCUGUCAACUCUAGAUGGAAGGUGUGUGGAUGUCCUUUGAACCCUCUUUUUUACCCACAAAUGCACAAAGGGAAACUUUCAUAAGACCAAGUUGAAGGGGAAAGCUGACUUUGAUACUGUCUGGGGGAAAAAAGAAAAGAAAAAAAGACUGACCACAAGUACAAAUUUUAAAAGUCUCCUCCUUUCUAGCUUUUCAUGAUUGGGAUCAAACUCAAUCUGCAGGAGAGCUCCAGAGAGAACAAGGCCCCGUCCCUCAUUUCACCCCCACACAAAGCUGAGGCCAGAGAACGUCAAGACUUACCCAAGGUCACACAGCCACAUAGCAGCAGAGCUGGGACUGGGCUCUAGCUGUCCUACUGCACAGGCCCCUUCUUUCCCACUCAGGCCGACUUGUAAUUAUUUCUGAAGACAAUGGCGGGGGAAAGGGUUCUGAAUACUCUCUGGGUAACAGCUAACUCCCAGAGAAUAAGGUACGCAGGCUCAGUCCGAUUCCCAACGACAGAAGAACGGACGACGCUCCUCCCAACGUACUGGGACAGGAAGCUCCCAGCACCUCAGAGCAGCGGCUUUUCCCUCAGAGAGCACCCCCAGGAACUGGACCUGCACAUCCGGCAGAGGUAGAGCCCACUUUGCUGGAGUGGACCAAAGGAGCCAAGGGUGCUCCCACCUCCGGACAAAGAGCAGCAUCCUGGAAAAGGGGUUGGUUGGCAAAUUACAACCCUUGGACCAAGCCCAGCCUACCUUCUGAUUGUUUUGGGGUGGUGGGUGAGGGGCUGGUGUGGCACAUGCGCAAAGUGUGGCUUUUACAUUUUUAAUAGUUGGAAAAAAAUCAAAGGACAAUUUCAUGGCAUAUGAAAAUCAAAUUUCAGGGUCCAUAAAUAAAGUUUAAUUGAAACACAACAACAUUCACUUAUUUACAUAUUGCCAGUGGUUGCUUUUGCACUGCAAUGGCUGAGUCCAGUGGCUGUGACAGAGAUGGUAUGUGGCACUCUCAGGCUUGCCACUGCUGUUUAGUGCAUUGCAAAUCACAGCAAGGCCAUCACAAUUCAAUAGCAUUUCAAGUACCACACUGUGAUGCUGUGGUUCGAUAAGAAAUAUCACAAGGUCUUCAGUCCUGAGUGUUGGGGAGAUAGGGGUGUCUUUCGUUAUUCAUAAUAAACCCCAUACUUGAGUUUCAAUCAGACCUGAGUUUGUGGGGAUGAGGUGACUCUUGCUGCUUCCCUCCAUACUUCAGGGUGUGAACUGGUUCCCAGCACCAACCUUGUGAUUAGAGGAUUGGAACUUUCAGCUCUACUUCCUGACCCCUGACAGGAAAGUAGCUGGGAAAUCACCAGUGUUUAAUGAUUUAAUUAUGUCUAUAUUAUGAAACUUUUUUUUUAUUGGUCUUUUUUUUUUUUUUUGCCUUCUCUUG
rnacentral:lncRNA from 1 species